AAAGACUUAGUUAAAUAAUAACAUUAGCUUGUCAAACUAAAAUUACUAUAAAGUAGUCUUUA
rnacentral:tRNA from 1 species